rnacentral:rRNA from 1 species
AAUGAACGCUGGCGGCGUGCCUAAUACAUGCAAGUUGUGCGAGAAAGUGGGAGCAAUCCCGCGAGUAAAGCGGCGCACGGGUGAGUAACACGUAAGCAACCUGCCUUCAAGUUCGGAAUAACCUUGCCAACGCGGGGCUAAUACCGGAUGUGAUCCCGAGACCGCAUGGUUUUGGGAUUAAAGCUGACCUCUACUUGUAAGUUUGCGCUUGAAGAUGGGCUUGCGUACCAUUAGCUAGUUGGUGGGUAACGGCCUACCAAGGCUGUGAUGGUUAGCCGACCUGAGAGGGUGAUCGGCCACAUUGGGACUGAGAUACGGCCCAGACUCCUACGGGAGGCUG